rnacentral:rRNA from 1 species
AGAGGUUAAAGCGGAGACGCGAUGGAGGAGGGGCUCGUGCCCUAUCAGCUAGUUGGUGAGGUAACGGCUCACCAAGGCGACGACGGGUAGCCGGCCUGAGAGGGUGAACGGCCACACUGGAACUGAGAUACGGUCCAGACUCCUACGGGAGGCAGCAGUGGGGAAUAUUGGGCAAUGGGAGCAAUCCUGACCCAGCAACGCCGCGUGAACGAAGAAGGCCCUUGGGUCGUAAAGUUCUUUUAUGUGGGAAGAAUAAGAUGACGGUACCACAUGAAUAAGCCCCGGCUAACUACGUGCCAGCAGCCGCGGUAAUACGUAGGGGGCGAGCGUUGUCCGGAAUUACUGGGCGUAAAGGGCACGCAGGCUGUGCUUUAAGUCAGCUGUUAAAAGAUGCGGCUUAACCGUGUUGUGCAGUUGAAACUGGAGUACUGGAGUACUGGAGAGGCAAGUGGAAUUCCCAGUGUAGCGGUGAAAUGCGUAGAUAUUGGGAAGAACACCGGUGGCGAAGGCGACUUGCUGGUCAGUAACUGACGCUGAGGUGCGAAAGCUAGGGGAGCAAACGGGAUUAGAUACCCCGGUAGUCCUAGCCGUAAACGAUGAAUGCUGGGUGUGCGAGUAGAGAUACUGGUGUGCCGUAGUUAACGCG